GACGAACGCUGGCGGCGUGCCUAAUACAUGCAAGUAGAACGCACAGUUUAUACCGUAGCUUGCUACACCAUAAACUGUGAGUUGCGAACGGGUGAGUAACGCGUAGGUAACCUGCCUGGUAGCGGGGGAUAACUAUUGGAAACGAUAGCUAAUACCGCAUAAUAUUAAUUAUUGCAUGAUAAUUGAUUGAAAGAUGCAAUUGCAUCACUACCAGAUGGACCUGCGUUGUAUUAGCUAGUAGGUGAGGUAACGGCUCACCUAGGCGACGAUACAUAGCCGACCUGAGAGGGUGAUCGGCCACACUGGGACUGAGACACGGCCCAGACUCCUACGGGAGGCAGCAGUAGGGAAUCUUCGGCAAUGGACGAAAGUCUCACCGAGCAACGCCGCGUGAGUGAAGAAGGUUUUCGGAUCGUAAAGCUCUGUUGUAAGAGAAGAACGGGUGUGAGAGUGGAAAGUUCACACUGUGACGGUAUCUUACCAGAAAGGGACGGCUAACUACGUG
rnacentral:rRNA from 1 species